rnacentral:tRNA from 2 species
GUUUCAGUAGUUUAAGCAGAAUAUAGCUUUGAAGCAGCUGUGGUGGUAGUUUCCCUGGAACA